rnacentral:tRNA from 1 species
GGGGGUGUAGCUCAGCUUGGUUAGAGCGUCUGCCUGUCACGCAGAAGGUCGAGGGUUCGAGCCCCUUCACUCCCGCCA